rnacentral:rRNA from 1 species
GACGAACGCUGGCGGCGUGCUUAACACAUGCAAGUCGAACGAUGAACCCGGAGCUUGCUCUGGGGGAUUAGUGGCGAACGGGUGAGUAACACGUGAGUAACCUGCCCUGGACUCUGGGAUAAGCGUUGGAAACGACGUCUAAUACCGGAUAGGACCUUGGAUCGCAUGAUCUGGGGUGGAAAGUUUUUUCGGUCUGGGAUGGACUCGCGGCCUAUCAGCUUGUUGGUGAGGUAAUGGCUCACCAAGGCGUCGACGGGUAGCCGGCCUGAGAGGGUGACCGGCCACACUGGGACUGAGAAACGGACCAGACUCCGACGGGAGGCAGCAGUGGGGAAUAUUGCACAAUGGGCGAAAGCCUGAGGCAGCAACGCCGCGUGCGGGAUGACGGCCUUCGGGUUGUAAACCGCUUUUAGUAGGGAAGAAGGGCUUCGGCUUGACGGUACCUGCAGAAAAAGGACCGGCUAACUACGUG